UACAGAGGUCUCAAGCGUUGUUCGGAUUCAUUGGGCGUAAAGGGUGCGUAGGCGGCGCGGUAAGUCGGGUGUGAAAUCUCGGGGCUUAACUCCGAAACUGCAUUCGAUACUGCCGUGCUUGAGGACUGGAGAGGAGACUGGAAUUUACGGUGUAGCGGUGAAAUGCGUAGAUAUCGUAAGGAAGACCAGUGGCGAAGGCGGGUCUCUGGACAGUUCCUUACGCUGAGGCACGAAGGUCAGGGGAGCAAACGGG
rnacentral:rRNA from 1 species